rnacentral:lncRNA from 1 species
CCAAUUUUUAGCUUUUUAUACCAGCUUGUAUUGGAUUCAGUUUUGUUUGAGCCAUUGAUUGUCUUAGUGAUAUUUUAUGAAAUAAUUGUAUUAGUCUUUUUACACUCAUCUGUAGCGAUUAUUUUGGUCGGCAUGUCCCCUGUUUGUAUGUUCUGUUGUAUCAGGUAAAUAAUCCGAAAGAAAUAACUAUGGUGUAUAAUUCUGCAAUAAUUUCUACCAAGCAUCUAAAGUUGACAGUUUUACCAUUUUCCGGAAAUCCAAUGUCAAUAAACUACCUUAAAUUAAGUGCAAUCUAGAGCCUCUAGGGUGGUUUAGUUUAGAAGCUAAAUUCAUGGUAACAUUCAGGAUCGUCCGUUGUUUGCUAUGAAUUUACGAC